rnacentral:Y_RNA from 1 species
GGCUGGUCUGAAGGUAGCGAGUUAUCUCACUUGAUUGUCCACAGUCCGUUGCUGAUGGGACUCCUGUUCUACUCUUUCCCACUUCUCACUACAGCACCCGACUAGUCUUAA